rnacentral:lncRNA from 1 species
CCCCAUUUUCUUCACCCACUUUUCCCCCAUUUUUCCUCCCAUUUUUUUCCCAUUUCUCCCCCAUUUCUCCCCAUUUUUUCCCAUUUUCUCCCCAUUUUUCCCCAUUCCUCCCCAUUUUUUUCCCAUUUCUCCCCAUUUCCCCCCAUUUUUUUCCCAUUUUCACCCCGUUUUCACCCCGUUUCUCCCCAUUUUCACCCCGUUUCUCCCAUUUUCACCCCGUUUCACCCCAUUUCUCCCCGUUUUCACCCCGUUUUUCCCCAUUUUUCCCCAUUUCCCCCCGUUUCUCCCCGUUUCCCAGCCCCGAGUACUCCCGCUACUUUUCCCGGCGGGAUCUGGAGGCGUUUUCGGCGGAGCCGCUGCUGCUGUUCCCCACUCACUACACGGGGGAGCCCGGCUACGUCAGCGACACCGAGACGGCCCCGGCGCCGCCGCGCGACGAGCUCUGACCCCAAUAAAACUCACACUUGGAUUUUUAAACGGCUUUUUGCUGGUUUUAUUUUCGGGAUUUUUUUUGGGAUUUUUGGGGAUUUUUUAUGGGGUUUUUUGGGAUUUUUUUUGGAUUUUUUGGGGAUUUUUUUAUGGGUUAUUUUGGGGUUUUUUGGGGAUUUUUUUCUUGGGUUUUUGGGGAUUUUUUCUGGGUUUUAUUGGGAUUUUUUCCAGGGUUUUUUGGGAUUUUUUCUGGGUUUUAUUGGGAUUUUUUCUGGCUUUUAUUGGGAUUUUUUCUGGGUUUUAUUGGGAUUUUUUCUGGGUUUUUUGGGAUUUCUUUUUUGAUUUUUUGGGGGAUUUUUUCUUGGGUUUUUUAGGAUUUUUUUCUGGGUUUUUUGGGAUUUUUUCUGGGUUAUUUUGGGAUUUUUUUCUCAGUUAUUUUGGGUUUUUUGGGGGAUUUUUUCCGGGUUAUUUUGGGAUUUUUUUCCAGGUUAUUUUGGGAUUUUUUCUGGGUUUUUUGGGAUUUUUUCUGGGUUAUUUUGGGAUUUUUUCUGGCUUUUAUUGGGAUUUUUUCCAGGGUUUUUUGGGGGAUUUUUUUGGGAUCUUUUGGGUAAAUUUUUGGGGUUAUUUUGGGGAUUUUCUUUGGAUAUUUUGGGAAUAUUUUGGGGAUAAUUUGGGAUAUUUUGGGGAUGUUUUUGGGGAUAUUUUGGGGAUAAUUUGGGAUAUUUUGGGACAUUUUGGGGCUCAGAGCUCGUCGUGCUCCUCGUGCCCAGGUGUUUCGGGCUCCCUGCAGGCCGCAGGUGUCUCCAGCUCCAGCAGGUACUCGCAGCGGCUCGGCUCCGACGCCGCCGUCACCGCCGUGUCCCGGCCACACCUGAGCCGCACCUGGCAGGGGACAGCACAGCUCAGACACACCUGGGACACCUGGGACACCUGGGGACACCUGGGACACACCUGGGACACACCUGGGGACACCUGGGGACACCUGGGGACACCUGAGAUACACCUGAGAUACACCUGGCACGGGGACAGCACAGCUCAGACACCUGGGGACACCUGGGGACACCUGGGGACACCUGGGACACACCUGGGGACACCUGGGGACAUCUGGGGACAUCUGAGGACAUCUGGGGACACCUGAGAUACACCUGGGACACACCUGGGGACACCUGGAAAUAGCUGAGCACAACUGGGGACACACCUGGGACACAGCUGGGACACAGCUGGGGACAUUGUGGGGGCUCAGGUGACACAGGACAGGUGACACACAGGUGACACAGGUGACACAGGUGACAGGUGACACAGAUGACACAGGACAGGUGACACAGGUGACACACAGGUGACACAGGACAGGUGACACAGGUGACACACAGGUGACACAGGACAGGUGACACAGGACAGGUGACACAGGUGACAGGUGUGUCACUCACCGUGGUGGCUCUGUUGGGUCCCUGCCAGCACCCCGUGCUGCUCACACAGGUGUGACACAGGACAGGUGACACACACACACAGGUGACACACACACACAGGUGACACACACAGGUGACACAGGUGACACAGGUGACACACACACACACAGGUGACACAGGACAGGUGACACAGGUGACACAGGUGUCACUCACCGUGGUGGCUCUGUUGGGUCCCUGCCAGCACCCCGUGCCCCCCUCGUAUUUUUGGGCCCCGAAUUUGUCGCCUUCGGGCCCCGCCCAGGAGCCCCAGAGCCUGUGGGGGAGGGGCCAGGUGAGCACAGGUGACGUCACGGGGUCAGGUGACGUCACGGGGUCAGGUGACAUCAUGGGGGUCGGGUGACGUCAUGGGGGGUCAGGUGACACCAGGGGCUGUCCCCAGGCGUCCCCAGGGUGGUUUUGGGGGGGAUUUGGGUUUUUUUGGGUGUUUUUGGUGAGAUUUUGGGGGUUUUUGAGGUGGUUUUGGGGGUUUUUGGGGUAUUUUGUGGAUAUUUUUGGGGUGUUUUGGGGGUUUUUGGGGUAUUUUUGGGGUGUUUGGGGUGUUUUUGGGGUGUUUUGGGGUGCCCUGACCCCAGGUUGGUCUCGGCGCCGCCGUUUUUGGGUCUCUGGGUGACGCGCUGGAAGGGGCAGAGCCGG